UACGGGGGGGGCAAGCGUUGUUCGGAAUUACUGGGCGUAAAGGGCUUGUAGGUGGCCAACUAAGUCAGACGUGAAAUCCCUCGGCUUAACCGGGGAACUGCGUCUGAUACUGGAUGGCUGGAGUGUGGGAGAGGGACGCGGAAUUCCAGGUGUAGCGGUGAAAUGCGUAGAUAUCUGGAGGAACACCGGUGGCGAAGGCGGCGUCCUGGACCAACACUGACACUGAGGAGCGAAAGCCAGGGGAGCAAACGGG
rnacentral:rRNA from 1 species